AUUGAACGCUGGCGGCAGGCCUAACACAUGCAAGUCGAACGAGUGGCGGACGGGUGAGUAAUGUCUGGGAAACUGCCCGAUGGAGGGGGAUAACUACUGGAAACGGUAGCUAAUACCGCAUACCAUCGGAUGUGCCCAGAUGGGAUUGGCUGGUAGGUGAGGUAACGGCUCACCUGGGCGACGAUCCCUAGCUGGUCUGAGAGGAUGACCAGCCACCCUGGAACUGGGACACGGUCCCGACACCUACGGGAGGCAGCAGUGGGGAAUAUUGCACAAUGGGCGCAAGCCUGUUCCAGCCAUGCCGCGUGUGGUAAGAAGGUCUUCGGAUUGUAAAGCACUUUAAGUUGGGAGGCGUUACCAACAGAAUAAGCACCGGCUAACUUCGUGCCAGCCGCCGCGGUAAUUC
rnacentral:rRNA from 1 species